rnacentral:rRNA from 1 species
UGUGAGCUCGAUGAGUAGGGCGGGACACGUGGUAUCCUGUCUGAAUAUGGGGGGACCAUCCUCCAAGGCUAAAUACUCCUGACUGACCGAUAGUGAACCAGUACCGUGAGGGAAAGGCGAAAAGAACCCCGGCGAGGGGAGUGAAAAAGAACCUGAAACCGUGUACGUACAAGCAGUGGGAGCACGCUUAGGCGUGUGACUGCGUACCUUUUGUAUAAUGGGUCAGCGACUUAUAUUCUGUAGCAAGGUUAACCGAAUAGGGGAGCCGAAGGGAAACCGAGUCUUAACUGGGCGUUAAGUUGCAGGGUAUAGACCCGAAACCCGGUGAUCUAGCCAUGGGCAGGUUGAAGGUUGGGUAACACUAACUGGAGGACCGAACCGACUAAUGUUGAAAAAUUAGCGGAUGACUUGUGGCUGGGGGUGAAAGGCCAAUCAAACCGGGAGAUAGCUGGUUCUCCCCGAAAGCUAUUUAGGUAGCGCCUCGUGAAUUCAUCUCCGGGGGUAGAGCACUGUUUCGGCAAGGGGGUCAUCCCGACUUACCAACCCGAUGCAAACUGCGAAUACCGGAGAAUGUUAUCACGGGAGACACACGGCGGGUGCUAACGUCCGUCGUGAAGAGGGAAACAACCCAGACCGCCAGCUAAGGUCCCAAAGUCAUGGUUAAGUGGGAAACGAUGUGGGAAGGCCCAGACAGCCAGGAUGUUGGCUUAGAAGCAGCCAUCAUUUAAAGAAAGCGUAAUAGCUCACUGGUCGAGUCGGCCUGCGCGGAAGAUGUAACGGGGCUAAACCAUGCACCGAAGCUGCGGCAGCGACGCUUAUGCGUUGUUGGGUAGGGGAGCGUUCUGUAAGCCUGUGAAGGUGUACUGUGAGGUAUGCUGGAGGUAUCAGAAGUGCGAAUGCUGACAUAAGUAACGAUAAAGCGGGUGAAAAGCCCGCUCGCCGGAAGACCAAGGGUUCCUGUCCAACGUUAAUCGGGGCAGGGUGAGUCGACCCCUAAGGCGAGGCCGAAAGGCGUAGUCGAUGGGAAACAGGUUAAUAUUCCUGUACUUGGUGUUACUGCGAAGGGGGGACGGAGAAGGCUAUGUUGGCCGGGCGACGGUUGUCCCGGUUUAAGCGUGUAGGCUGGUUUUCCAGGCAAAUCCGGAAAAUCAAGGCUGAGGCGUGAUGACGAGGCACUACGGUGCUGAAGCAACAAAUGCCCUGCUUCCAGGAAAAGCCUCUAAGCAUCAGGUAACAUCAAAUCGUACCCCAAACCGACACAGGUGGUCAGGUAGAGAAUACCAAGGCGCUUGAGAGAACUCGGGUGAAGGAACUAGGCAAAAUGGUGCCGUAACUUCGGGAGAAGGCACGCUGAUAUGUAGGUGAAGUCCCUCGCGGAUGGAGCUGAAAUCAGUCGAAGAUACCAGCUGGCUGCAACUGUUUAUUAAAAACACAGCACUGUGCAAACACGAAAGUGGACGUAUACGGUGUGACGCCUGCCCGGUGCCGGAAGGUUAAUUGAUGGGGUCAGCGCAAGCGAAGCUCUUGAUCGAAGCCCCGGUAAACGGCGGCCGUAACUAUAACGGUCCUAAGGUAGCGAAAUUCCUUGUCGGGUAAGUUCCGACCUGCACGAAUGGCGUAAUGAUGGCCAGGCUGUCUCCACCCGAGACUCAGUGAAAUUGAACUCGCUGUGAAGAUGCAGUGUACCCGCGGCAAGACGGAAAGACCCCGUGAACCUUUACUAUAGCUUGACACUGAACAUUGAGCCUUGAUGUGUAGGAUAGGUGGGAGGCUUUGAAGUGUGGACGCCAGUCUGCAUGGAGCCGACCUUGAAAUACCACCCUUUAAUGUUUGAUGUUCUAACGUGGACCCGUAAUCCGGGUUGCGGACAGUGUCUGGUGGGUAGUUUGACUGGGGCGGUCUCCUCCUAAAGAGUAACGGAGGAGCACGAAGGUUGGCUAAUCCUGGUCGGACAUCAGGAGGUUAGUGCAAUGGCAUAAGCCAGCUUGACUGCGAGCGUGACGGCGCGAGCAGGUGCGAAAGCAGGUCAUAGUGAUCCGGUGGUUCUGAAUGGAAGGGCCAUCGCUCAACGGAUAAAAGGUACUCCGGGGAUAACAGGCUGAUACCGCCCAAGAGUUCAUAUCGACGGCGGUGUUUGGCACCUCGAUGUCGGCUCAUCACAUCCUGGGGCUGAAGUAGGUCCCAAGGGUAUGGCUGUUCGCCAUUUAAAGUGGUACGCGAGCUGGGUUUAGAACGUCGUGAGACAGUUCGGUCCCUAUCUGCCGUGGGCGCUGGAGAACUGAGGGGGGCUGCUCCUAGUACGAGAGGACCGGAGUGGACGCAUCACUGGUGUUCGGGUUGUCAUGCCAAUGGCACUGCCCGGUAGCUAAAUGCGGAAGAGAUAAGUGCUGAAAGCAUCUAAGCACGAAACUUGCCCCGAGAUGAGUUCU